rnacentral:rRNA from 1 species
UGGGGAAUAUUGGACAAUGGGCGAAAGCCUGAUCCAGCAAUGCCGCGUGGGUGAAGAAGGUCUUCGGAUUGUAAAGCCCUUUCGACGGGGACGAUGAUGACGGUACCCGUAGAAGAAGCCCCGGCUAACUUCGUGCCAGCAGCCGCGGUAAUACGAAGGGGGCUAGCGUUGCUCGGAUUGACUGGGCGUAAAGGGCGCGUAGGCGGUUUGUACAGUCAGACGUGAAAUUCCUGGGCUCAACCUGGGGGCUGCGUUUGAUACGUGCAGACUUGAGUUCGGAAGAGGGUCGUGGAAUUCCCAGUGUAGAGGUGAAAUUCGUAGAUAUUGGGAAGAACACCGGUGGCGAAGGCGGCGACCUGGUCCGAUACUGACGCUGAGGCGCGAAAGCGUGGGGAGCAAAC